AUAUUGGGUUAUACCAUAUAUUUAAGAACAAUGUCAUAAUUCAAAAUACGAUUGUUUUAACCCUUCUUUUACUGUAACUAUAAACAAUACGUAUAAACAAUAUUUUAUGAGAAAUUGUCAAAACUCAACAACUAUCAGCAAAAUUAUAAAAGAAAAUAAUGUUUUUGUUAUUAAUUAAAUAACUUUUUGAAUAAAAAGUUCUAUUGAUCUGUGGUAUAACACUGUUUCCUUCAACAAUUUAACUGUUUUAACAGUCUCUAACAGUCUUUGGAUCUUAAUGAUCUUCCAUAUUUUGUUUACAUAUAUUGGUUACACUAAAACAAAGGAUUAAAUAACCAAUUAAAAGAAACUAUUGAAUUAUAAAAUUGUUCUUAAAUAAACAAUUCUAUUUUAUAAAUAUGAUACUUUACUAUAUCUUGAUAAAUAUUACAUUACUUUAUAAUUAUACUUUAUAAAUACUUCAAAAUUUGUAAUUUUUCAGUAACUCUCCCAAGAAACCAGCGAUAUGUAUUUCUAACCAAGCAAGCAGUAUAAGUACACUCGUAUGCGGCCCGGCUAUCAAAAAUACAUACAUAUGUAUAAAGCUGCCAAAUCGCACACUAUCGCCGUUAUAAGUAUGACAGCUAAGUACUGAAGAAAUUAAAGGGAAUAUAAAUUACAACUAUUUUACACGAUGAAGCAGCAUGCGGGUACGCGUUGCGCACGCCAAGAAACGCGCGCACACAAUUACAUCAAGUUACGCAUCCACACGUAUACACACUGAUGCUCACACCGAUCGAGACAAUGCGUCAAAGCAGAGGCGGUAAUAAUCAUUCACCUUUCAUGUAAUAUCAAAAACUAAUAGAUCCAAUCUCUUCAAGGCAACAAACGAGAAUAUAUACCGAAUAUAAUCUGCAGAAGAAAUGAAACAUCGGAUAGUUGAAACGACUCAAGAAUGGAUCCACCGAGAACACGAUACAAUUACGUUCAUACGCGACGAGUUUCUCGCGAUAUCUUUCACAGACACGCGGGAAAAUCGUUCAGCCGAUAUCUGGUAAAAUCGUAAAAUUACACCAACGGAAGUUCGAUCAUGGUUUCUGUUAUCAAACAGAACACUAUUAAGAAUCUGUGAGAGAGAAACUCAACGAAAGUAUCCGGCCGUGGUACUCGACUGUUCGAUUUCUGCACACCAAAUUCGAUAUCCCUAUCACAGACUUUUCCAGCUGAAUAACGAACGUCGUAAUCAUGAAAAAUAUUGUUAAUGAUUCUAACAUCGACAUGAAUAUGUAGUAGAGUAUUUAUGAAUUUAUAACACAGAGUUGUUAGACGUAUAUUCACCACAAUAUCGAGAUGCACGAUAGUAGGCGCGGCUUUUCACCCCGUAUAGAGAGAAACGAUUUCGUGUCAGUGAUUUGUCACCUACCUACGUUAUUCGAGCGUGUCCUCUUCGUCAACGAUCCUCGUGCUAUCCACGAAUGAAACUCACGAUACCGAUUUAACACAGAAUCACGAACGAAUCGUGCUCUCGGCACUUUUCAGCUCGUGCUUGUCGCACGCCAACCGAGUCCGCCAUCUUGGGGCAACCGCCAAA